rnacentral:rRNA from 1 species
GGCUUUCUGAAGAACAUGGGGGGUCGUGCCUUCCCAGUGGGCAUACGAGCCUAAACGGACGCGGUAAAUCGUGCUAAGGUAGCUAAAUUAUGGCCUAUUAAUUGUAGGUCCUGUGAAUGGUUUGACGAGUCCUCGACUGUCUCGAGGUUGUUUUGGUGAACUUGAAUUGAAUGUGCAAAUGCUUUCAUGGGAAAGAAAGACGAGAAGACCCCGUGAAGUUAGAAAUUCCUAUUACAGCGUUAAUCCGCUUUGAUGUUUGUAGAUCAGGCGUUUUAGAACUUUAAUUUUCCAAUACGGCUAGAGUUAGGGGUAUUGGAUGUUUAUAGUUUUUAAGUAGGGGAGUGUGGUUUUGAUGAGUUUUGGCUGGGGCAGCAAAGAGGCAAAACUAGACCUCUUUAGACACACAACGGGUGCGUUACGACCCACAAAAAUGAAUUGUGUGAUUAGCAGAAUGAGUUACUCCGGGGAUAACAGCGUAAUCUUCCUUGAUAGUUCUUAUAGAUGGGCGGGUUUGCGACCUCGAUGUUGGCUCUGGGUAUCCUGAGGCUUGCAGGCGGUCUCAAGGGUUGGUUCGUUCGCCCAUUAAAACCUG